rnacentral:rRNA from 1 species
GAAGUUCGUACAACACACCCCGCCAGAGAACUACAAGCAAAAGCUCUAAACUCAAAGGACUUGGCGGUGCCCCACACCACCCUAGAGGAGCCUGUCCUAUAAUCGAUACCCCACGUUAAACCUCACCACAUUUUGCACUUACCAGCCUAUAUACCGCCGUCGUAUGCUUACACCAUGAGGGCAUAUAGCUAAGCACAACACUAACAUACUAACACAUCAGGUCAAGGUGUAUGUAACAAAAUGGAAUGGAUGGGCUUAUUUUCUACAACAAAACACACGGCUAUACAAUGAAAUACUGAAUUACAAGGUGGAUUUAGCAGUAAACUAAGGCCUUAUGCCAACUUUAAUCCUGCUCUGGGGCGCGCACACACCGCCCGUCACCCUCAUCAAAAAUAACCGCAUGCAGUCCAUAAAACUAUUCAACUGACACAAGAUGAGG